CACGUAGGGCGCAAGCGUUUGUCCGGAAUUAUUGGGCGUAAAGAGCUCGUAGGCGGUUUGUCGCGUCUGCUGUGAAAUCCCGAGGCUCAACCUCGGGUCUGCAGUGGGUACGGGCAGACUGGAGUGCGGUAGGGGAGAAUGGAAUUCCUGGUGUAGCGGUGGAAUGCGCAGAUAUCAGGAGGAACACCGAUGGCGAAGGCAGUUCUCUGGGCCGUAACUGACGCUGAGGAGCGAAAACGUGGGGAGCGAACGGG
rnacentral:rRNA from 1 species